rnacentral:rRNA from 1 species
GACGGGGGAUGCAAGUGUUAUCCGGAAUCACUGGGCGUAAAGCGUCUGUAGGUGGUUAAAUAAGUCAACUGUUAAAUCUUGAGGCUUAACCUCAAAAUCGCAGUCGAAACUGUUUGACUAGAGUAUAGUAGGGGUAAAGGGAAUUUCCAGUGGAGCGGUGAAAUGCGUAGAUAUUGGAAAGAACACCGAUGGCGAAGGCACUUUACUGGGCUAUUACUAACACUGAGAGACGAAAGCUAGGGUAGCAAAUGGG